CUCACUCUUCUGUUUAAGUGUAUUGAAAGCCUAAAAUUCUGUAUAAUUAAUGAGCAUCCGACACACGUGACCGCCGCCUCAGACCCACGUGACCACAGCUAGCUCCGUGGAAAGGCCUCAGUACAGCCUCGGUCUCUCCUGGAAACUGUGUCGGGAUUUUGAGUCUCUGUGCUUGUGAAUUCUGUUUUGGAUAUUAUUGGUGCAAUUGUUGGACAAAAUGACUUGCUGUGGUAUUAAUUGCACUAAUAGAGCGUCCAAGGAGUCUCCACUUCAUUUUUUUCGGGAAGGACCUGAUUGGUGUCCAGAACCUGCUGAAGAAGAACCAGGCUCUGCAGGCUGAGAUCACAGGUCAUGAACCUCGCAUCAAGGCUGUCACCCAGAAAGGAGAGACCAUGGUGGAAGAAGGUCACUUCGCUGGUGAGGAAGUGAAGACUAAACUGUGGGAACUUCAUGGACGUUGGGACACGCUGAAGGCCAAGGCGUCCCAGAGGAGGCAGGACCUGGAGGACUCUCUGCAGGCCCAGCAGUACUUUGCGGAUGCUAAUGAGGCCGAGUCCUGGAUGAGGGAGAAGGAGCCCAUCGUUGGAAGUCCAGACUAAGGGAAAGACGAGGACUUGGCCGAGGCUCUCCUGAAGAAGCACGAGGCCCUGAUGUCGGACCUGUCGGCUUACGGCAGCAGCAUCCAGGCCCUGAAGGAGCAGGCCCAGUCCUGCAGGCAACAAGGUGAUCAGCAGGUGCUUUUGUCCUGCAGGACCUGAAGGCAAACGAGUCCCGCCUGAGGGACAUCAACAAGGUGGCAUCUGAACUGGAGUCAGAAGGUCUGAUGGCUGAGGAGGCUCCUAUGGUUCAGGCUCAGCAACAAGAACAUCUGGGUUCUGCUCCUGGAAAGGAUGAAGCCGACUCUAACACGGCGUCACCCUGGAAGACCGUACGGUUGGGCGUUCAGACGACGGCUAACUUUAAUUCCAUCAAGGUAAGAGGAAGCUCUUCCCUUCCUGUCUGAGCGAUCCGUCUCCAGGUUUCCUCGUCCGGCGUCCAGCCCGCUGGCAUCCACCUUCAUCUCACCUUCAUCUCAUCUCACUUCAUUUAUAGUGCAAUACUUUCACAUUAUCAUUUUCCCACACUUCUGUAUACCUGUAUUUUGUUGUUUUUCAAUAAAGAAUGACAAAUUA